GACGAACGCUGGCGGCGUGCCUAAUACAUGCAAGUCGAACGCAGUGGGGACGGGUGAGUAACACGUGGGUAACCUCCCCCUCAGAGGGGAUAACACUUGGAAACAGGUGCUAAACCGAUACUGAUGGAUGGACCCGCGGGGCAUUAGCUAGUUGGUGAGGUAACGGCUCACCAAGGCCACGAUGCAUAGCGGACCUGGUAGGGUGAUGGGCAACACUGGGAUGGAGACAGGGCCCAGAGUCCUACGGCAGGGAGCAGUAGGGAAUGUGCGGCAAUGGACGAAAGCCUGCCCCAGCAACGCGGCGUGAGUGAAGAAGGUUUUCGGAUCGUAAAACACUGUCGUGAGAGAAGCGGUAUCUAACCAGGAAGCCACGGCUAACUCCGUGCCAGCAGCCGCGGUAAUAC
rnacentral:rRNA from 1 species